GGUUGCGAUCAUACCAGCACUAAUGCACCGGAUCCCAUCAGAACUCCGCAGUUAAGCGUGCUUGGGCGAGAGUAGUACUAGGACGGGUGACCCCCUGGGAAGUCCUCGUGUUGCAACCG
rnacentral:rRNA from 1 species